GGUUCCAUAGUGUAGGGGUUAGCACAUCUGCUUUACACGCAGAAGGUCCUGGAUUCACAUCCCAGUGGAGUCA
rfam:Pteropus alecto contig96310, whole genome shotgun sequence.